GCGGCGCGCUUAAUGCAUGCAAGUCGAGCGAUGAGGCCCUCUUCGGAGGGUACAUCAGCGGCAGACGGGUGAGUAACACGUAGGUGACCUGCCCUAAAGCUGGGGAUAACGGAUGGAAACAUACGCUAAUACCCAAUAGACCUGUGAGGUCGCACUCAUAGGUAAAGCUCCGGCGCUUUAGGAGGGGCCUGCGGCCCAUCAGCUAGUUGGUAGGGUAACGGCCUACCAAGGCGAAGACGGGUAGGGGGUGUGAGAGCACGACCCCCCACAAUGGGACUGAGACACGGCCCAUACUUCUACGGGAGGCAGCAGCAGGGAAUAUUGCACAAUGGACGCAAGUCUGAUGCAGCGACGCCGCGUGGAUGAUGAAGGCCCUCGGGUCGUAAAAUCCUUUUCAGGGGGACGAGGAAGGACGGUACCCCUGGAAUAAGCGUCGGCUAACUACGUGCCAGCAGCCGCGGUAAGACGUAGGACGCAAGCGUUAUCCGGAUUUACUGGGCGUAAAGCGUCUGUAGGCGGUUCGAUAAGUUGGGCGUGAAAGCUCCGGGCUUAACCCGGAGAGGUCGUUCAAUACUGUCGAACUAGAGGACAUCAGAGGAGCAUGGAAUUUCCGGUGUAGCGGUAAAAUGCGCAGAUAUCGGAAGGAACACCAGUGGCGAAGGCGGUGCUCUGGGGUGGGCCUGACGCUGAGAGACGAAAGCUAGGGGAGCGAACAGGAUUAGAGACCCUGGUAGUCCUAGCCCUAAACGAUGGAUGCUAGGUGUGGGGCCGAGAAGGCUCUGUGCCGCAGUUAACGCGCUAAGCAUCC
rnacentral:rRNA from 1 species